AUUCCGGUUGAUCCUGCCGGAGGCCAUUGCUAUCGGAGUCCGAUUUAGCCAUGCUAGUCGUACGAGUUCAUACUCGUGGCGGAUAGCUCAGUAACACGUGGCCAAACUACCCUAUGGAUGAGAAUACUCUCGGGAAACUGAGGCUAAUUCUCAAUACAGCUUCCAUGCUGGAGUGCAGGAAGCUAGAAACGCUCCGGCGCCAUAGGAUGUGGCUGCGGCCGAUUAGGUAGACGGUGGGGUAACGGCCCACCGUGCCAGUAAUCGGUACGGGUGAUGAGAGUCAGAGCCCGGAGACGGUAUCUGAGACAAGAUACCGGGCCCUACGGGGCGCAGCAGGCGCGAAACCUUUACACUGCACGACAGUGCGAUAGGGGGACUCCGAGUGCGAGGGCAUACAGUCCUCGCUUUUCUGCACCGUAAGGUGGUGCAGGAACAAGUGCUGGGCAAGACCGGUGCCAGCCGCCGCGGUAAUACCGGCAGCACGAGUGAUGGCCGAUAUUAUUGGGCCUAAAGCGUUCGUAGCCGGCCAGACAAGUCUGUUGGGAAAUCCACGCGCCCAACGCGUGGGCGUCCAGCGGAAACUGUCUGGCUUGGGGCCGGAAGACUCGAGGGGUACGUCCGGGGUAGGAGUGAAAUCCCGUAAUCCUGGACGGACCACCGGUGGCGAAAGCGCCUCGAGAAGACGGACCCGACGGUGAGGAACGAAAGCCAGGGUCUCGAACCGGAUUAGAUACCCGGGUAGUCCUGGCCGUAAACGAUGUCUGCUAGGUGUGGCGCAGGCUACGAGCCUGCGCUGUGCCGUAGGGAAGCCGUGAAGCAGACCGCCUGGGAAGUACGUCUGCAAGGAUGAAACUUAAAGGAAUUGGCGGGGGAGCACUACAACCGGAGGAGCCUGCGGUUUAAUUGGACUCAACGCCGGACAUCUCACC
rnacentral:rRNA from 1 species